rnacentral:rRNA from 1 species
GAUGAACGCUGGCGGCGUGCCUAAUACAUGCAAGUCGAGCGAACAGACGAGGAGCUUGCUCCUCUGACGUUAGCGGCGGACGGGUGAGUAACACGUGGAUAACCUACCUAUAAUACUGGGAUAACUUCGGGAAACCGGAGCUAAUACCGGAUAAUAUAUUGAACCGCAUGGUUCAAUAGUGAAAGACGGUUUUGCUGUCACUUAUAGAUGGAUCCGCGCUGCAUUAGCUAGUUGGUAAGGUAACGGCGUACCAAGGCAACGAUGCGUAGCCGACCUGAGAGGGUGAUCGGCCACACUGGAACUGAGACACGGUCCAGACUCCUACGGGAGGCAGCAGUAGGGAAUCUUCCGCAAUGGGCGAAAGCCUGACGGAGCAACGCCGCGUGAGUGAUGAAGGUCUUCGGAUCGUAAAACUCUGUUAUUAGGGAAGAACAAAUGUGUAAGUAACUAUGCACGUCUUGACGGUACCUAAUCAGAAAGCCACGGCUAACUACGUG